GGGCUCAUUUUGCUAAUGAGCACCCUCUUUUUUAGGUCUGAAAUUUUUUUGGAAAUUUUUUAUCAAAAAAAUAAUAGUUACAAAUUGAAAAAAAUAUUCAAGAAAUCUGGAAAA
ensembl:ncRNA Y39A3CL.9 ncRNA